CUCCGUUUGGAGAGGUCAACGUGACCCCUGCACCGGCGCCCUGAAGAGACAGAGAACCGUCGAAUUGCAUCACCCAGUGGGCGGCGUGAGGCAGCUGUGAGGGGUCCGCGCUGGCCUCGGGGAUUGAGAC
rnacentral:misc_RNA from 1 species